CCCGCAGGCAUCGGGCCAAUCUCAGAGGGCGCGCACGCCGCAUCAGGACCCCGGAACCCGCCCCGUUGGGGAUAGGGACAGAUGGAGAAUCCAGCUCAGACCCAGCAACUCUGAGCUGACUUGGAUCUAAUUCUUCCCAAUUCAUGCCACAAGCCCAACUCAUCAGCUGAUACCUGAGGAUGAUCCACUGCUCACUGAGCGUGGUCAGGGAGCGCCGCUGUCGGACGAGCAUCUUCAUCAAAUGUGCUGAGAACCCUCUGCACCUCUCCACGUUGCCCAUGCCCAUUUCCUGGCAGAAGAAGGAAAAACAUGCUGAAGGGGCUGCUGACAAACAUCACCCACAGAUGUGCCUCUAGAAAGCUGUUUCUACUAUAAGCGUCAGACAUGCCACACUCUAGAGAUUUCUGUUCAGCAAAGACCAGAGCUCACUCUAUCCCAAACACAGGACUGUGUGUCAGUGAACAAGUAAAACAAGUCUAAAAAAGAAACCAUGGGCUAGGCGCGGUGGCUCACACCUGUAAUCCCAGCACUUUGGGAGGCCAAGGUGGGCGGAAUCACAAGGGGGGAACGAAGUUCCACAAUUUUGGCCUGGACCCGGUCAAAGAAUUGCUUGUAAUAAUGGUACAAAUUCCAUAGAACACUGCAAAGUGAAUCUGGAAGAAAUGAAAAGGAAACAAAAAUACCACACUUGCUGCAUGUGCUACUGGUGCCAGCUGUGGCCUUCAUAUUUCAGUGAUGACCCUUCCUCAUUACUCUCUAUGCCAUGAGAUUACAGUGAGUUUCACAGGUGCAUUAUUUAGGGAUCCUGUCUGAGUUUAGCAUUUCCCAGAGAUGCAGGCUGUCAACACUCCCCUAUUUUUCACUUCUGCUUGUAACAGAUGUUUUUUUGCACUUUUGUUCUUGAAGAUGAUGUACUCCUAGGUUCUUCUAAAAUCACAAUGUCAAAUUCCUUCUGUGAAACUUAUUGUAAAAUCAGCAGAAACUGAGCUUUUUUUAAAAGAUGGCAUAUUAAGCAGUUCACCUCAAAUGCUCAUUCAUGUACAAUCUAUACUCAUCUUGUAGUGAGACUUUUAUCCCAGUUGCUGUGAUCAGGGAUAGUACUUGACAGCGGGCAGUUUUAGAUGCAGUUCCUUGAUGGCUGGCAGUGCUCUCACUGGAUGAAAGAAACUAAUAAUGGCCUGGAUCAAGGAGCAGCUUAGCAGGACAUUUACAAUGUCUAGACAGAGAGAUGUGCUGCCUCAACAUGGUAGGUCCUGAGAUCUUCAUCUGGCAAUUUACCUCUGCCAGAGCUCACUAGUCAGUACUAAACUUAUAACCAUCUGCACCUCACUUUGAAUGUUCUUCUCUAUAUCUAAUGUGAAUCGCAUUAAACAUAACUAAAUGUGUCUUGUUUAAAACCUAGCGUGCAACAAGGCACCUGUCUCAUGCAGAGAAUUCAAAGCCUAACUCAUUUUAGUCGUGCAAUGUCAAAGGAAAGGAAAAAAAAAUCCUCACCCUUUCCUUCAACCUGUGGCAUCAGCAAGACAUGACAAUGGAAAACCAGUAACAUCUGAAGUCGCACAUGGAACUCUCCCAGCGAGGAUCCUUCAAUAAAUGCUUGUAAUGUGCUGACCAGCAACAUCAAGGUCAUCUGUUUGUCAUCUUUAAAAAUUCAAAGAGAAAAAUAUAUAUGUUCCUUCGACCAUGACUCCCUAUUCCUAACAUGCACGCAAUCUAUUUGGGAUACUACGGAUGGCCAAGAGGUAGACAUCACAAUGUGAAGCUCUCAAGCAAGGACCAUGGCUAAAUUCUAAGCUGAUUUAAAAGUAACAGGCCGGUGUGGUGGCUCACGCCUGUAAUCCCAGCACUCUGGGAGGCCAAGGCGGGCAGAUCAUUUGAGGUCAGGAGUUCAAAACCAGCCUUGCCAACAUGGUGAAACCUCGUGUCUACUAAAAAUACAAAAAUUAGACAGGCAUGGUGUUGGGCACCGGUAAUCCCAGCUACUGAGAAGGCUGAAGUAGGAGAGUCACUUGAGCCUGGGAGGCGGAGAUUGCAGGGAGCUGAGAUCGUACCACUGUACUCCAGCCUGGGCAACAGAGCAGGACUCUGUCUCAAAAAAAAAUAAAAAACAAAUAUAAAUAAAUAAAUAAAAGUAGCAGCUGCACAUAGAGCAUGUGUUAAAUGCACUCACAGCAAAUUAUGAAAAUGAAUUAUAAGGUGCUUGUCACAAGUAUAAAAUAAAAGACUGUUCAUUCAAGCAUGUUGGCUACUACCUACCAAAAAGUCAGCUUUCAGUUUGACUUCUAUCAUGGACAUAGAGAAGACGGAAACCUUAUCCUACGACUGGUUCUCUAGACUUUUGGAGAAGACAUUUAAACCUCUCACACUUUUGUUAUUAUUCUCUCAGUUAGAUAAGCACGAUUUACAGUUUUCUUGGCUGACCUCUCAGAAAUAUCAUGAAGUCAAAUGGGAGGCAUUCCCAUGAAAGCCAUGUAGCGGGAGAAGCGGGAGCAGGAAAAUCCUACACUUUGCAGCACUCCAUUUAGCCGGGAAGCUCUAAGUGGGCAGGAAAUGUACUGCUAGGCAUUACCUUCCUGUUCUUCUGUUUGUUCCUGCAUGUGCUUCUCAAGCAUCUGAUAGAUGGAGAACCAGUGCUUGGUGGAUUUCUCGGUGUGGCGCUUCAUAGUAUUAUCCAAACUCAUGGACCAGCAGCUGAAACGAGAAGAAGCCAAGGAGGCAUUUAGGAAAACCUAUUUGAAAUAUCUGAAACCAAAGAUGCAGAAGCUACAUGCUCACAUUUCUCUCCUCCCAAAUGGAGAUGGAGGAGCCACCCAGUUUCCUCCCUCAAGAAUAUAUGCUGUUGUCUGGACUGUAUUCAGGUCAUUUUAAUGCCCUACUUUUAACUCUGUGAUUAAUAACUGAAAAGCACAUUCUGUAGCUGUAAUACUAUAUAAAUCCUAAAGAAAUUUAAACUACCAAAAGACAAAAGCCCUUACAACCUAAGUUUAGGAGAGGGAAGGAGAGUCACUUACUUCAGCUCCAGUUUACGCCACCGAAUGAUCAUCUGACUGAUCAAAUCAAGAUGUUUCCGCAAAGACAAAGCUCGACUUGCAUUUUCCUCCCAAUCCUAAAGAAACAAAGAUAAAAUUUACUACAGAUAUUAUUCAAUGCCAUAAUCACCUCCUUCCUCAAGAACAUCUUGAACUUUGCUUGAGUGAAGACUACUGGGCCCUUAAACAACUUGCACCAAUUGUAGGAAUGAAUUUACAGUGUAUCAGCUUCAAGUUCUUUCUGUUCACAUGACAGAACUCCACCAGAGCCAAGUUUAGAGGCUGGCAAAAAAGCACAGUGUUUAUAGACUGGAGCCUGAAUUCGUGCUCUUUGCUAUCUGACCUAGAACAAAGACAUGCGGCCCUUUUCUGUCCAAUGGGGAGGCAACAGCUAACUUAGAGGCCAUGAGGGCACUGAGGGGAACCGUGUAUGUGGGCACUCAGUUGGAAUGAAGGCCCACCUGGAAGGCUGGGAGGAGUGCACCCUCAUUACCGGUAGAUACUGCAUCCCACUGGAUAAAAGGCAAGGCAGCUAGCCCUCACCACAGGGGCAACAGCCUCACUUGCAAUGAUCUCACCCCAUGCCAGAAAAACCAAGGAUGUUUACCUUUUUCUAGCCCAAACUAUAAUUUUCUGUCUAACAACAAAGGUGCCACAAGACGUAUCUUUUGCCAACUGACCACCAACUAAAAUGAGGAAGAGAGGUAUUAGCUCACCUGUGCCUUUGCCAGAAGGAUCUCUAAGCCAUUCAGGAACUUUGAGAUGGGACUGGAAAGUGGGAAACUACGAAUUCUGUCCAUUACAACCAGGAGCUGCAGAAAUAAAGAUUUGGGUAUCUCAGUAGGAAUACCAGUGAUCCUAAGUCACAGGGUACUGAAGAGAGUCCUGACCAGAAGAUUCCCCCCAGUUCUCUACUUUUAAAACACCUCUGAAAAAAAAAACAGAGCAACAUGGCAGCAUUUUAUUAUGUGGUCAGCAACUCCUGACCAACAAAUAAAAUUAACAGAAUCCCCAAUCAUUUACACAAGAGAAAUACAAAACUGGUGUGUUCAUCCUGCAGUUAGUAAGUAACAUCUCAUUGAACUGCAGUUCUUUAAGCCUUUGUUUAUAUGUAUAUAUGUGCAAGUGGGUGCCCCCAGGGAUAAUGGUGAGGCUGCAUCCUCAUUGCAGACUCAGUACUGUGAGCACUCCUUCCUCAACAGCUGCCCUACCUGUUCAAGCGCUGGGUGUUCUGGCCAGUCCUGUAGCAAGUGACUGACAGCCUCUGAGAAACCUUGAAGCACAGGUUGACACUGCCGUGCUUCUGGAACAUUGGGAUGCUGGUAGAAGUCAUAGGGCCCAUCAGGUUUCACCAUCAGGUCUGAGGGUGCCUCCCCAAAAAGAGUGUUAUGGGAGAGGGUACAGGCCAAAAGUUGGCUGCCCAAGAGUCGGUCAUUCAGUUCAACUCCUGUGAAGUUAACAUCACGGUAAAGUCAGUGAAUUCAGUAAGUUGAUCUAUCAACAUGUCAAAAAGAUGUCAGCAACAGGGCCAGGUGCAGUGGCUCAUGUCUGUAAUCCCAGCACUUUGGGGAGCCGAGGCAGGCAGAUUGCUUGAGGCCAGGAGUUUGAGACCAUCCUGGCCAACAUGGUGAAACCUCUUUUCUACUAAAAAUACAAACAUUAGCCAGACAUGCAUGUGCCUGUAAUCCCAGCUUCUUGCGGGCCUGAGGCACAAGAAUUGCUUGAACCUGGGAGGCAGAGAUUGCAGUGAGCUGAGAUUGUGCCACUGCACUCCAGCCUGAGAAACAGAGCAUCAGCAACAUCAGCAACAAUGAACUAAUUGGGACUAAUGAAUGCUAUUCUCCCCUAAAGCAACAUUGGCCUAGAGAACUGUAAUCCUAAUACUAUAGUAGCUACCUAAAGCUCUCAAGUUUCUGGAAUGUGCAGAGGAAGUCAGAAACUGCCUAGGUAUAAACAAAUGGUGUAGGGGUUAACUCAGUGCAUCCAAAUUCCCAGUUUUUAUACCUAUUCUAGGUAAACAGAAAGGAAACUUAAAGCCUCCUUCCUACUUCUAUGAAAUAAUGCCAAGAAAUCAUGUAGGAAACUGCAAUGAACCAACUAUUAAACCAUAUUCUACAAGA
rnacentral:lncRNA from 10 species